rnacentral:lncRNA from 1 species
CCACAUCGACCUAGGCGCGUCGGCGGUGGUGACCCACAUGGGGCGGCGGCGGCCCAGACGGAGCGGUGGCGGCGGCCUAGACGGAGCGGCGGCGAUGGCUUGAUCGAGUGCGGUAGCGGUAGGAUCCUCUCCUCUCACCGCUCUCUCUCCCUCCGGAGACGUACCUCGGCUCUGGAUGCUUUGGUGUGGCGCAACGACGACCUUGCAACGACGUAUUUCUCGUCUUCACAGCAAGCAAGUUGGCGGGAGAGGGAGCGACGGAUUUGGCGGGAUGGAGAAUCGUGGCUUCUGUUGCGCUUUAGACGACGCCUUCAUGCCGUCUAGGUCUGGACAUCUUCAAGGCUAAUUUGGAGGAUGUGUAUGUUUGCAUUUCUUGUUAGACGAGCUGUUGGACGUCAGUUUUUGGUUUUGGUCGUUUAAAACGUGUAUACACGUUCAUUUAGACGUGUUGUUGGAGAUGCUCUUACUCGGUUCCUUAGGUCAACUUUUUGCUCCUACUCGUACCUUUAGGACAAGAAAAUAAACACGUUAGUCCGUUUGUGAUCGUAUGACCACUCGUGCGCCCAACCGACC